rnacentral:snRNA from 1 species
GCGCUCACUUGGGCAGCACAGACACUGAAACUGGAACCAUACAGGGAAGAUCAGCAUGGCCCCUGUGCAAGGAGGACAUGCAAAUUCACAAAGUGUUUCUUAAACAU